rnacentral:rRNA from 1 species
UACGUAGGGUGCGAGCGUUGUCCGGAAUUAUUGGGCGUAAAGAGCUCGUAGGCGGCCUGUCGCGUCGGAUGUGAAAGCCCGGGGCUUAACCCCGGGUCUGCAUUCGAUACGGGCAGGCUAGAGUUCGGUAGGGGAGAUCGGAAUUCCUGGUGUAGCGGUGAAAUGCGCAGAUAUCAGGAGGAACACCGGUGGCGAAGGCGGAUCUCUGGGACGGUACUGACGCUGAGACGCGAAAGCGUGGGGAGCGAACAGG